CCUACGGGAGGCAGCAGUGGGGAAUAUUGCACAAUGGGGGAAACCCUGAUGUAGCGACGCCGCGUGAGUGAAGAAGUAUCUCGGUACGUAAAGCUCUAUCAGCAGGGAAGAAAAUGACGGUACCUGACUAAGAAGCCCCGGCUAACUACGUGCCAGCAGCCGCGGUAAUACGUAGGGGGCAAGCGUUAUCCGGAUUUACUGGGUGUAAAGGGAGCGGAGACGGCGGUACAAGUCUGGAGUGAAAUCCCGGGGCUUAACCCCGGAACUGCUUGGGAAACUGUGGGGCUGGAGUGCAGGAGGGGUAAGCGGAAUUCCUAGUGUAGCGGUGAAAUGCGUAGAUAUUAGGAGGAACACCAGUGGCGAAGGCGGCUUACUGGACUGUAACUGACGUUGAGGCUCGAAAGCGUGGGGAGCAAACAGGAUUAGAUACCCCUGUAGUC
rnacentral:rRNA from 1 species